CCUACGGGAGGCUGCAGUGUGGAAUAUUGCGCAAUGGACGAAAGCCUGACCCAGCGACGCCGCGUGAGGGAUGAAGGUCUUCGGAUCGUCAACCUCUGUCAGCAGGGAAGAACGGUCACUGUCCUAAUCAGCCGUGAAUUGACGGUACCUGCAAAGGAAGCACAGGCUCACUCCGUGCCAGCCGCCGCGGUAAUACGGAGGGUGCGAGCGUUAAUCGGAAUUACUGGGCGUAAAGCGCUCGUAGGCGGUAUGUCAAGUCAAGGGGGAAAUCCCCGGGCUCAACGUGGGAACUGCCUUUGAAACUGGCAAAAUGGAGUGUGGGAGAGGAUAGUGGAAUUCCAGGUGUAGGAGUGAAAUGCGUAGAUAUCUGGAGGAACAGCAGUGGCGAAGGCGACUAUCUGGCACAUAACUGACGCUGAGGAGCGAAAGCGUGGGUAGCAAACAGGAUUAGAUACCCGAGUAGUC
rnacentral:rRNA from 1 species